GAGUUUGAUCCUGGCUCAGGACUAACGCUGGCGGCGUGCCUAACACAUGCAAGUCGAACGGACACCACUUUGUAGCAAUACAGAUGAAGUGUUAGUGGCAGACGGGUGAGUAACACGUAGUCAACCUGCCUUACCGUCCGGGAUAACUAGCCGAAAGGUUAGCUAAUACCUGAUACGAUCGUCGAGCGGCAUCGCUUGACGAUGAAAGCAGCAAUGCGCGGUUAGAGGGGGCUGCGGCCCAUUAGCUAGUUGGUGAGGUAAUGGCCCACCAAGGCAACGAUGGGUAGCUGGUCUGAGAGGACGACCAGCCACACUGGGACUGAGACACGGCCCAGACUCCUACGGGAGGCAGCAGUGAGGAAUUUUCCGCAAUGGGCGAAAGCCUGACGGAGCGACGCCGCGUGCACGAGGAAGGCCUUCGGUCGUAAAGUAGCGUGUCGAGGGGACGGAGU
rnacentral:rRNA from 1 species